rnacentral:rRNA from 1 species
UACGUAGGGGGCGAGCGUUAUCCGGAAUUACUGGGCGUAAAGCGCACGCAGGCGGUUCGCCAAGUUUGGAGUGACAGUUGUCGGCUCAACCGACAAAGGACUUCAAAAACUGGUGAACUUGAGGACGAGAGAGGAACAUGGAACUCCAGGUGUAGUAGUGAAAUGCGUAGAUAUCUGGAAGAACACCAAUGGCGAAGGCAAUGUUCUGGCUGGCAACUGACGCUGAGGCGCGAAAGCUAGGGGAGCGAACAGG